GCCUGGGUGGCUCAGUCAGUUGAGCAUCUGACUCUCGAUCUUGGGUCACGUCGUGAUCUCACGGUUUGUGGGUUCAAGCCCCACCUUGGGCU
rnacentral:tRNA from 1 species